GUCUACGACCAUGCCACCCUGAACAAGCCCGAUCCCGUCUGAUCUCAAGCUAAGCACGGUCGGGCCUGGUUAAUAUUGGGAUGGGAGACCACCUGGGAAGACCAGGUACUGUAGGCG
rnacentral:rRNA from 1 species